CGAGCAAGUGCAGCGCCGGAAGUGUUGCGUUUUGCACUGCAUUUUCCUUGUGAUAUGGGAGAUCGCAACGCAGAGACGACCAGAUGCACACGAAAGACUACCAGCGGAGAGUGACCUGUGCCAUAUUUCUCUUAACCUCUCAGGUAUUCAAGAAAUGGCAACAUCCAGAAGAAGACGCCAUCUUAUCCAGCACGUUAUGGGUACACUCUGGUGGCUCCCGCCCCUGCAUCCUACGACCACCGUGUCCUCACUAUGUUCACUAGGGAGUUCGAAGCCUUUGGCGGCUCCUGCCACUGCGUCCUGCCACCACCGUGUCCUGACUACGUCCACUAGGGAGUUGGCAGCCUUCGUGAUGAUGCCAAGCAGGCUGGAAGCUGACAGAACGAUCGAGGUUGCCUCGAAAUUUUACCCAAGCCGUGCCACACACUUGGGCCAGGCCUCUUGCAAACGACGUAUAACCAGGCUCAACGCAGGAUGUCGAGUGAGUCCGGAGAUCGAGGCAACCUGCUGUGCAACCAGCGUGCAACCUUUGGUGACCCUCAACAUGUUCCACCUAUUUCACAGCUGCACUCAGCUUCCACCUAUCCAAACCGCAUCACCAGCUGUGGUCACUCAUCGAACCAUGGAUGAAUGUUGGGGUGGAGUGAUUUGAAGAGACAUUUUUUUUGUCUCUUCAAAUCCUUAGCAAAUACUUGUGUUAUUAUAAUGAAUAUGUGUCUUUAGUGCCUAGUUUUCAAUGG